rnacentral:rRNA from 1 species
UACGUAGGGGGCUAGCGUUGUCCGGAUUUAUUGGGCGUAAAGAGCGUGUAGGCGGCCAGGUAGGUCUGCUGUGAAAACUCGAGGCUCAACCUCGAGACGUCGGCGGAAACCAUCUGGCUAGAGUCCGGAAGAGGAGAGUGGAAUUCCUGGUGUAGCGGUGAAAUGCGCAGAUAUCAGGAGGAACACCAAUAGCGAAGGCAGCUCGCUGGGACGGUACUGACGCUGAGACGCGAAAGCGUGGGGAGCGAACAGG